rnacentral:lncRNA from 1 species
GUGGUGGCUUCCGGCUGGUGCUGAAGUGGGCCACGAAAGAAUGCUCAAGCUGUCCAAAGGAGUGAAUACUUUUGGGACGAAGGCUGGAGUACCAGGCCCUGGCAGCUUUGCGAAGUGUGGCAGGUAAGCCGAUGCAAAGAAGAGCAUCGGUCGCCCCUUGGAUCGUCAUGAGAGCCUUGUAGCUCUCCAGGUGGUCAACUGGGUCGGCGGAGCCAUCGUAAGGCUCCACGUGUGGCAUCUUGAACCGACUGGGGAUCGGUUCGUCGAGGAUGAGUCGGGAGAGAGGUUGGGC